rnacentral:rRNA from 1 species
GGGCGGAGCCUGAUCAGCCAUGCCGCGUGGUGUGAAGAAGGCCUUAGGGGUUGUACAAGCUCUGUUCGGGGGUGAGGAAGGGUAGCGUAGAUUAAUACCUAUCUUAUCUUGACGUUAGCCCCCGCAAGAAGGGCCGGGUUAACUCUGUGCC